rnacentral:rRNA from 1 species
GGGCCCGCACAAGCGGUGGAGCAUGUGGUUUAAUUCGAUGAUACGCGAGGAACCUUACCAGGGCUUAAAUGGGAGAUGACAGGGGCAGAGACGCCCUUUUCUUCGGACAUCUUUCAAGGUGCUGCAUGGUUGUCGUCAGCUCGUGCCGUGAGGUGUCAGGUUAAGUCCUAUAACGAGCGCAACCCCUACCGUUAGUUGCCAGCGAUUCAAGUCGGGGACUCUAACGGGACUGCCGGUGCAAACCGUGAGGAAGGUGGGGACGACGUCAAAUCAUCACGGCCCUUACGUCCUGGCUACACACGUGCUACAAUGGUCGGUACAGAGGGAAGCUACCCCGUAAGGGGAUG